UCAAUAUUGAUUCAGAAUUUCUCGGAUUGGUAUAGUCUCAAAUAAUUGAGAUGUUAAUUAUUUCUGAACAAUAUAGAUAGCCGCACAUUUAAACUGAUUGUCAAAUACACUUUAUUCACAAUUCCGUUUUUGUAAAGAUAACUAUGAAUAUAGAAAGCAAUAGACUGAAUACUUUUACAAACUGGCCUGCUUCAGCUCCAGUUGAUCCUAUUAGAAUUGCACGGGCUGGUUUUUUUUACACAGGAAAUGGUUGUGAAGUUGAAUGUUUCAGUUGUAGAGGAAAGAUAUCGGAAUGGAAUUAUGGUGACCAAGUCAUGUGGCGACAUCGUUUGCUAGCACCUAACUGCUCAUUUGUUUUGACACCUCAAUUAUCUGGUAAUAUUCCUUCGGUGCUUGGUCAGGGUUGUGUCCCUGUAAAUGAAGCACCUCGAGCUUCAUCUGAAGGCGUUGAAGAACAAUCAUAUUUGCCUGAUGAGUAUGGAGUUACUGCAGAAGAUCAAAUGUAUAGAAGUGAUGCACUGAGAUUACUGUCUUAUGUGAACAAUUGGAAUGACACUUCAGUUUCCCGAGAAGCAUUAGUAAAUGCUGGGUUUUACCAUGCAGGUGGGGGGCGCUUGCGAUGUGCAUGGUGCGGAGGAGAACUUGCGCCAUUUAGGAAUUUGGGUUCUUUAGGGUCCCCUCUGGAAAUACAUAGAAGGUACUUCCCGAAUUGUGAAUUUGCUAUACAAGUAGAGAGAAGAGAUAAUGAAAGUAGUAACUCAUUAUCAUCCAGUUAUGAGUCGUAUACGCCGCCGCCGCCUAAUGAAGCUGCACCACAAACUGAAUCUUCCAGAAGUGGUGCGGUACACAAUGAACAAGUAGUUGCCGCUGGUAGUACAUGGCGAGAGCUAGGCGUCGUUAGCGGUGGUGCAAGACACCCUACUAAGGCUUCUCUGCCAGCGAGGCUUGCUACAUUUGAUAGAUGGCCAUAUGAUAGACCACAAGCUCCCCAGUCGCUUGCUGAAGCAGGUUUUUUUUAUACUGGUGUUGAGGAUCAGGUCCGUUGUUUCUACUGCGACGGCGGGCUCGGGAAAUGGGAAGCGGGCGACAUACCGUGGCGGGAGCACGCGCGCUGGUUCCCGCAGUGCGGCUACGUGCUGCUGCUCAAGGGGCAGCAGUUCGUCGACUCGGCGCAACGGGUGGAGGCGCCAGUUGGACAGAGGACGCUCACGGCGGAUCGAACUUCUAGAUCUAGAAAUUCGGCAAAUAAUUAUCCCGUUACAGAAAGCCAGAUAGAGGCGGUUAUGGAGGGUGAAGCGGCUGCGGCGGCGUUGGGCGCGGGGUUGGACGUGGCGCGCGUGCGCAGAGCCGUUGUACGCAGAUUGCGUUCUACCGGAACACCGUUUCCCACAUCGGACGCGCUGAUAGACGCGAUACUGGACGAGCAGUUGGACGAGGAGCCGUGGGGCGUGUCGCCGCGCAGCCACCGCUUCGCGCGGGACAUACUCACCGAGACGCUCAGGAUAUUCGGCAGCACCACUGGGGUAUUUGUAAUGCCAGAUGAAAACUCUGAUAACAGAAUAUCCAGCUCAGAUAGCCAGUCAUCAUCACCUAUGCCGCCCGAAGCACAAACUGGUCGAAGUGUCCAAGUGUAUAACGCUGCGGUCAAAACUGACAAGAGACCGGAGAAGUCGAAGACCCCGGUACCAGUAGAGAAGAAAGAGUUGAGUCUGGAAGAAGAAAAUAGGCAGUUGAAAGAGGCCAGGCUGUGUAAAGUGUGUAUGGAUAAUGAGGUGAGCAUGGUGUUCCUGCCGUGCGGGCACCUGGUGUCGUGCGCGGAGUGCAGCGCGGCGCUGGCGGCGUGCCCGCUGUGCCGCGCCGGCGUCAAGGCGCUCGUGCGCGCCUACUUCGCGUGAUGCGCGCGCCGCCUGCCGCGCCACGUCGUAGCACUGAGGCAGUGAGGACAUUAGGCGUUGCGUCGCGUUGCAGUCAACAGCUACAAAGUGAUAACAUCAUCUACCUUCCUAUGAUUAAUAUAUUAGAUAUAUAACUAAUAAGUAGGUACAGAUAUGGUAUACGGAAGAUUGCUUUAGGCCUUCACACUUCUAAUUUCAAUGAUACACUAUUACUUUAUAAAGAAUAAAAUAUAGGUCGCAUACCUAUUUAAGCAUUCGCUUUGAUACAAAUAGAACUGGCACAGAUGCUUUAAAUGAAUAAAAAAGGUAAUUGGUAUUUAAGAAAACGUGUGUUCUUUAAAUUUAAUAAGUGAUGUACACAAGGGAAAUUCCAAUGAGUUUUCAAAAAUAUGGUUCGUUUUUAGGUGCUGAUUUUCGUAAAACUAUUAAUGCCAUUUAUAGGCAAGGCAAGUGUAUCUAAGAUUUUGAAAACAUGCGGUCUGAGUGGAACCAUAUUUUUUUUUAAGUAUUCCAGGUUCGUUAUAACCAUGUAUUAUGGAGUAAAUUAUACCAAUAAAUUAAUUGUUUCAUGAAUUUAUUAAAUUUGUAGCAAUAUUUUAUAAAUUUAUUAUUAUGUAAUAACGUGUUCAAAUUUUGUAGAAGUAUUUUAAUUCAAUUUCGACUUUGAAUAUUAUUAAUUGCAAUUAAAUUUAUUGAAUUGUUAAGCAUCAUAGAUGUGUCUUUUAAAUAUACACCUAUAUUAUUUGCACAAAGAGUGGAUACAGAAAUGUAUCGAAAAGUAGUAAACGGCUCUUUAAAGAAAAACACAAUUAUUUUUUUUUAUUGGAAACUGGAUACCCGUACAAUGUUUUAUUACAUUACUUCACAAUAGGUUUUAUGAAUCAACUUAAAUGACUAUAUAUGAAAGUGAACUCAUUUGUGAGAUAGUAGAAUUAACAAAAUGUCCAUAAACUAAGAUCGACUUAUUGUAACAUUUAUUUGAAUAUUGCUUACCUAGAAUUAUCUACCAUUAAGAAAUAACAGAAUAGAAUAAGCUAUCAUGGGAAAGACGAGCAUUCGAAAUAAAAUAUAAAAAAAAUUAUGCCUUUUUUUUUUCGAAGAAAUUAAAUAUUUUGGCAGAUCAAAUAUAUUAUUUAUUACUAUUUAUAAAAGACCAUACAAUUUCUUAAUAGAUUGAAUUAAUAGUACAUACGUAAUUCAUUAUUAUGUUAAAUAUAUGUACAAUCUUGUCCAAAAUUAAAGGUAUCAAUUAUGUCAGAUAUGAAAAAAAAAAUGUGGUUGAAAUAAAAUUCGUCUCAGUUUGUAUGGAAUUGACUUGACUUAACUACAAUUAUAAUGCCUUAUUUAUUAUGUUUAUACACUUUCGGAAUUUUGUACAUAAAUAGAAUAAUACUAUUUAGAAUAAUUGUUCAAAAUGCAAUAAUAGUGUUUCGAAUUUAGUCUAAAUUUAAAUGUUAACUGUAACAUCAGAACUCUAAAGAGGAAAAAACCUUCUGAAAAAUACAAAAUUAGAUAAUGUAAAAAUAACAAUGGCUCUGUUAAUCUGCUAUGUAUAAUACAUCUUUAUUUCGUCUAUUCGGACAUAUAACAGCUUAACAAUGUCGAGAUUUCCAUAUAGGUGUGUAUGUACCGUGUAGUAUAUAAUUGUUUGUUGUAUUAUAAGUUGGAUCUGAUUUGAUCUAAUAUAUUAUGGUAGGCCCGUGGCUUACAUAGUUAUUUA